AGGAGAUGGAGGGAGGUAAUACACAAGGAAUCCCCUGAAAGAGCUUCCUGGAACUAUCACCUGAAAGGAAGGAAAUGCCUGCUCAGCUAAACACAGCAGCUGCCUGCCUCACAAAGGAUCGUUGACGAAAUGGAGGAUUGGACAUGAUCGGACACCCACUGAGGAUCAAAGUGACAAUAGCAGGGGAAUGGUAUCUGCCUUUUCUGUUUAUUGGAAAAUAUUUUGAAGGAAAACUGAAAUUUUGGUAACGUUGAAGAACUCACAGAUCAGUGUGAACUAAUAUGAAGCAAAAAGGCCACAUACGGCCUAUAGCAGAAGAAAACAACAAAGGAGACGUGUUAUCGGUAGAGGCUCAUAGUACCAGUAGUUGUGGAUAACAGAUAGUCUGCACUCAGGGAAGAAAGGAGACCAAUGAGGCGUACAGGACAUGUCAGGACUGAAAUAAAAAAAGUAAUGAAGAGAACAACAAUCCCCAGGAUAUUGUUAAAAUUUUGAAAGAUCAACAGCAAAGAAAAAAGACAAUUGCAUGGAUCAGGAUGGACCCUUAAAGUCAAUAGCAACAUGAUAUACACCGAUUGCAUACUGUUUUAAAGAAAAAUGAAAACAUGAAAACCUCCCUCCGAGGAAUCAACUCAAUUUCCUAGUGACAGACAGUGCUGGAAGAUGAUAUUCAACUUAGUGCACUAAAUAACUAAUGAAAGAAAUAUGAUGACAACCUGCACAUAAUAUACUUAUACAUUUCAUGACAAAGAUCUCAAAGUCUUGUUCGGACUGCAAACUUAUAAAAUCGGAUUCUUCUCAAUAAUAUAGACACAAAAGUUCCCAUACAGUAAGAGAACAGAUGGUGAAAUCUUAGUUGCAAGGGAUGCACCCAUUAAAAAAGCAGAGCCUGCCAAAGAAAGAUUCAUUCCGACAGAGAUAUUUAUUCUUCCAGUGGACUUCAAAGGAAAUACAAAUUUAUGU